rnacentral:rRNA from 1 species
GGCUCAGGAUGAACGCUGGCGGCGUGCCUAAUACAUGCAAGUCGAGCGAACAGAUAAGGAGCUUGCUCCUUUGACGUUAGCGGCGGACGGGUGAGUAACACGUGGGUAACCUACCUAUAAGACUGGAAUAACUCCGGGAAACCGGGGCUAAUGCCGGAUAACAUGUUGAACCGCAUGGUUCUACAGUGAAAGACGGUCUUGCUGUCACUUAUAGAUGGACCCGCGCCGUAUUAGCUAGUUGGUGGGGUAACGGCCUACCAAGGCGACGAUACGUAGCCGACCUGAGAGGGUGAUCGGCCACACUGGAACUGAGACACGGUCCAGACUCCUACGGGAGGCAGCAGUAGGGAAUCUUCCGCNAUGGGCGAAAGCCUGACGGAGCAACGCCGCGUGAGUGAUGAAGGUCUUCGGAUCGUA